rnacentral:rRNA from 1 species
UACGUAGGGUGCGAGCGUUGUCCGGAAUUAUUGGGCGUAAAGAGCUCGUAGGCGGUCUGUCGCGUCGAUCGUGAAAACUUGGGGCUUAACCCUGAGCUUGCGGUCGAUACGGGCAUGACUGGAGUUCGGCAGGGGAGACUGGAAUUCCUGGUGUAGCGGUGAAAUGCGUAGAUAUCGGGAGGAACACCAGUGGCGAAGGCGACUACCUGGCCUGUUCUUGACGCUGAGGCGCGAAAGCUAGGGGAGCAAACGGG